AAGCCUAUUGAAAGGGCAUAAUCUUAACAAAUCUUUAUAACACUCUCACGCGUCAAAUAAGGACUCUCUUUCUUCUUGCCUAAAGUUUUUGAUCUCAUUCCUAACUU